AAAGUGCGACAAGUGUCAUGACUUGCAGAUACCCGAGAGCUGACAAAUUUCUGAAUGCAAAUUGCAGCCAAGUUAACCUGGCUAUGUAUUGCAGAGAGUACUUCGCUUAUGCGCGCCAUCCAGGGGUGGUUCCAUUCCCUCUUGGGCUAUGUGCAGGCAUUCAUUUGCCUGCUGAGCAUUGUGCCAGACUUCUUAACCUUCGGGUUGGAUUGUCUAAAGGCCAACUCAAAUCAAAGAUAGAAAACCAACGAGUUUUCCCGAUACUACAUAUGAGAUAAUUGCAAUGCAAUUACUUCUCACCAUUCACCUCUGCAAUGCAGGAGAACCCGCUGAACUUAA
rnacentral:misc_RNA from 1 species